rnacentral:rRNA from 1 species
AACGAACGCUGGCGGCAGGCUUAACACAUGCAAGUCGAGCGCCUCGCAAGGGGAGCGGCAGACGGGUGAGUAACACGUGGGCAACCUGCCCCUCACUCUGGGAUAACGCCGGGAAACCGGCGCUAAUACCGGAUACGACCAGGCGCGACAUCUCGCCUGGUGGAAAGAAUUUCGGUGAGGGAUGGGCCCGCGGCCUAUCAGCUAGUUGGUGGGGUAACGGCCCACCAAGGCGACGACGGGUAGCCGGCCUGAGAGGGCGACCGGCCACACUGGGACUGAGACACGGCCCAGACUUCUACGGGAGGCAGCAGUGGGGAAUAUUGCGCAAUGGGCGAAAGCCUGACGCAGCGACGCAGCGUGAGGGACGAAGGCCUUCGGGUUGUAAACCUCUUUCAGCGGGGACGAAGCGAAAGUGACGGUACCCGCAGAAGAAGCACCGGCUAACUACGUGCCAGCCGCCGCUGUAAGAC